ensembl:lncRNA
CUCUUUUUAACUACCUUGCAGCCUUAUUGUUUUCUAAUAGAAACUGUUUACUGUGAAAUUCUAAAUCACAGUGUUUCAAAGACAGUGGUUUUACGUGUAAUAUACAUUAUGUUUCAGAUAGAAUUUCACUUACGAUUUUUUUUAAUUAUAAAAGAAUGCACACCAGCAGCAAUGCUUUGUUGACCUUUUUCAGAGCCAUGAAGUUGACCAACCUGUAGAAAUAAUUCAAAUUCUACUUGUUUAUAGAUUAAAGCAAACUAAUAUUAAAAACUAAAUAUUAAAUGCAAAACUUAAAAAAAAAAAAAGAACCCAACAAACAAAUCAAUCAGACAAAAAACCCUCACUAGAUUAAAUAACAUGGAAUUUCCUGUAAGUGUCUUAUGAAGUAGUGCUAUGUAAAGCUGUUCAUAUAGCUUCAUAUAUAGCAUUUUCAUGAUUAUUUUCUUUUCAGCUCCUGUGUUUGGUGACCCUUUGGAAGUAUGGACUAGGUGAGCCACCUGGCUCCAUUGGAACUUGGAAGUCAGUGGUCCAAAGCACAGUGAUGUAAGACCGAAGUCUUUCUGCCAGUACCAAGAAUGAACAAGAAUACAAUGGUAUCAUCCCCCAGUCUCCCAUAGCAAGCUGGAGCUAUUUGGUCGCAGGCCAGAUCUUCC